rnacentral:tRNA from 1 species
UGCGGGGUCGGAUAACGGUAGUCCACCUGACUCUGGAUCAGGUUGUCGAGGUUCGAGUCCUCGCCCCGCAGCCACACC